rnacentral:rRNA from 1 species
UACAGAGGUCCCAAGCGUUGUUCGGAUUCAUUGGGCGUAAAGAGCUCGUAGGCGGCUCGGUAAGUCGGGUGUGAAACCCCCAGGCUCAACCUGGGGACGCCACCCGAUACUGCUGUGGCUAGAGUCCAGUAGGGGAGUGUGGAAUUCCCGGUGUAGCGGUGAAAUGCGCAGAUAUCGGGAGGAACACCAGCGGCGAAGGCGGCACUCUGGGCUGGAACUGACGCUGAGGAGCGAAAGCGUGGGUAGCAAACAGG